GGCAGCGUGGCCUAGUGGAUAGUGCACGGGCCUGAGAUUCAGAAGGACCUGGGUUCUAAUCCCAGCUCUGCCU
rnacentral:tRNA from 1 species